AACGAACGCUGGCGGCAGGCUUAACACAUGCAAGUCGAACGCCCCGCAAGGGGAGUGGCAGACGGGUGAGUAACACGUGGGAACAUGCCCAAAGGUACGGAAUAUUCUCGGGAAACUGGGAGCAAUACCGUAUGUGCCCGAAAGGGGAAAGAUUUAUCGCCUUUGGAUUGGCCCGCGUUGGAUUAGCUAGUUGGUGGGGUAAAAGCCUACCAAGGCGACGAUCCAUAGCUGGUCUGAGAGGACGACCAGCCACACUGGGACUGAGACACGGCCCAGACUCCUACGGGAGGCAGCAGUGGGGAAUCUUGGACAAUGGGCGCAAGCCUGAUCCAGCCAUGCCGCGUGAGUGAUGAAGGCCCUAGGGUUGUAAAACUCUUUCGUGGGGGACGAUAAUGACGGUACCCCAAGAAGAAGCACCGGCUAACUUCGUGCCAGCCGCCGCAGUAAAAC
rnacentral:rRNA from 1 species